rnacentral:rRNA from 1 species
GACGAACGCUGGCGGCGUGCUUAACACAUGCAAGUCGAACGCUUAAGCUUGGUGCUUGCCCUGGGUGGAUGAGUGGCGAACGGGUGAGUAAUACGUGAGUAACCUGCCCUUGACUCUGGGAUAAGCCUGGGAAACUGGGUCUAAUACUGGAUAUGACAUGCCACUGCAUGGUGGUGUGUGGAAAGGGUUUUACUGGUUUUGGAUGGGCUCACGGCCUAUCAGCUUGUUGGUGGGGUAAUGGCCUACCAAGGCGACGACGGGUAGCCGGCCUGAGAGGGUGACCGGCCACACUGGGACUGAGACACGGCCCAGACUCCUACGGGAGGCAGCAGUGGGGAAUAUUGCACAAUGGGCGGAAGCCUGAUGCAGCGACGCCGCGUGAGGGAUGACGGCCUUCGGGUUGUAAACCUCUUUCAGCACGGAAGAAGCGAGAGUGACGGUACGUGCAGAAGAAGCGCCGGCUAACUACGUG